rnacentral:rRNA from 1 species
AUUGAACGCUGGCGGCAUGCCUUACACAUGCAAGUCGAACGGUAACGCGGGGCAACCUGGCGACGAGUGGCGAACGGGUGAGUAAUAUAUCGGAACGUGCCCAAUAGUGGGGGAUAGCCCGGCGAAAGCCGGAUUAAUACCGCAUGAGACCUGAGGGUGAAAGCGGGGGAGUCGCAAGACCUCGCGCUAUUGGAGCGGCCGAUAUCAGAUUAGGUAGUUGGUGGGGUAAAAGCCUACCAAGCCGACGAUCUGUAGCUGGUCUGAGAGGACGACCAGCCACACUGGGACUGAGACACGGCCCAGACUCCUACGGGAGGCAGCAGUGGGGGAAUUUUGGACAAUGGGCGCAAGCCUGAUCCAGCCAUGCCGCGUGAGUGAAGAAGGCCUUCGGGUUGUAAACUGCUUUUGUUACGGAACGAAACGGUCUGCUUAAUACAGUGGGCUAAUGACGGUACCGUAAGAAUAAGCACCGGCGUAACUACGUG